GGGUUGUGAGGUUAAGCGACUAAGCGUACACGGUGGAUGCCCUGGCAGUCAGAGGCGAUGAAGGGCGUGCUAAUCUGCGAUAAGCGCCGGUAAGGUGAUAUGAACCGUUAUAACCGGCGAUACCCGAAUGGGGAAACCCAGUGUGAUUCGUCACACUAUCAUUAACUGAAUCCAUAGGUUAAUGAGGCGAACCGGGGGAACUGAAACAUCUAAGUACCCCGAGGAAAAGAAAUCAACCGAGAUUCCCCCAGUAGCGGCGAGCGAACGGGGAGGAGCCCAGAGCCUGAAUCAGCAUGUGUGUUAGUGGAAGCGUCUGGAAAGGCGCGCGAUACAGGGUGACAGCCCCGUACACAAAAGCGCAUGUGCUGUGAGCUCGAUGAGUAGGGCGGGACACGUGGUAUCCUGUCUGAAUAUGGGGGGACCAUCCUCCAAGGCUAAAUACUCCUGACUGACCGAUAGUGAACCAGUACCGUGAGGGAAAGGCGAAAAGAACCCCGGCGAGGGGAGUGAAAAAGAACCUGAAACCGUGUACGUACAAGCAGUGGGAGCNNNNNNNNNNNNNNNNNNNNNNNNNNNNNNNNNNNNNNNNNNNNNNNNNNNNNNNNNNNNNNNNNNNNNNNNNNNNNNGGGCGUUAAGUUGCAGGGUAUAGACCCGAAACCCGGUGAUCUAGCCAUGGGCAGGUUGAAGGUUGGGUAACACUAACUGGAGGACCGAACCGACUAAUGUUGAAAAAUUAGCGGAUGACCUGUGGCUGGGGGUGAAAGGCCAAUCAAACCGGGAGAUAGCUGGUUCUCCCCGAAAGCUAUUUAGGUAGCGCCUCGUGAAUUCAUCUCCGGGGGUAGAGCACUGUUUCGGCUAGGGGGCCAUCCCGGCUUACCAACCCGAUGCAAACUGCGAAUACCGGAGAAUGUUAUCACGGGAGACACACGGCGGGUGCUAACGUCCGUCGUGAAGAGGGAAACAACCCAGACCGCCAGCUAAGGUCCCAAAGUCAUGGUUAAGUGGGAAACGAUGUGGGAAGGCCCAGACAGCCAGGAUGUUGGCUUAGAAGCAGCCAUCAUUUAAAGAAAGCGUAAUAGCUCACUGGUCGAGUCGGCCUGCGCGGAAGAUGUAACGGGGCUAAACCAUGCACCGAAGCUGCGGCAGCGACACUGUGUGUUGUUGGGUAGGGGAGCGUUCUGUAAGCCUGCGAAGGUGGCCUGUGAGGGUUGCUGGAGGUAUCAGAAGUGCGAAUGCUGACAUAAGUAACGAUAAAGCGGGUGAAAAGCCCGCUCGCCGGAAGACCAAGGGUUCCUGUCCAACGUUAAUCGGGGCAGGGUGAGUCGACCCCUAAGGCGAGGCCGAAAGGCGUAGUCGAUGGGAAACGGGUUAAUAUUCCCGUACUUGGUGUUACUGCGAAGGGGGGACGGAGAAGGCUAUGUUGGCCGGGCGACGGUUGUCCCGGUUUAAGCGUGUAGGUGUGUGUUCCAGGUAAAUCCGGUUCACUUUAACACUGAGGCGUGACGACGAGGCACUACGGUGCUGAAGCAACAAAUGCCCUGCUUCCAGGAAAAGCCUCUAAGCAUCAGGUAACAUCAAAUCGUACCCCAAACCGACACAGGUGGUCAGGUAGAGAAUACCAAGGCGCUUGAGAGAACUCGGGUGAAGGAACUAGGCAAAAUGGUGCCGUAACUUCGGGAGAAGGCACGCUGACACGUAGGUGAAGUGAUUUACUCAUGGAGCUGAAGUCAGUCGAAGAUACCAGCUGGCUGCAACUGUUUAUUAAAAACACAGCACUGUGCAAACACGAAAGUGGACGUAUACGGUGUGACGCCUGCCCGGUGCCGGAAGGUUAAUUGAUGGGGUCAGCGCAAGCGAAGCUCCUGAUCGAAGCCCCGGUAAACGGCGGCCGUAACUAUAACGGUCCUAAGGUAGCGAAAUUCCUUGUCGGGUAAGUUCCGACCUGCACGAAUGGCGUAAUGAUGGCCAGGCUGUCUCCACCCGAGACUCAGUGAAAUUGAACUCGCUGUGAAGAUGCAGUGUACCCGCGGCAAGACGGAAAGACCCCGUGAACCUUUACUAUAGCUUGACACUGAACAUUGAGCCUUGAUGUGUAGGAUAGGUGGGAGGCUUUGAAGUGUGGACGCCAGUCUGCAUGGAGCCGACCUUGAAAUACCACCCUUUAAUGUUUGAUGUUCUAACGUGGACCCGUUACCCGGGUUGCGGACAGUGUCUGGUGGGUAGUUUGACUGGGGCGGUCUCCUCCUAAAGAGUAACGGAGGAGCACGAAGGUUGGCUAAUCCUGGUCGGACAUCAGGAGGUUAGUGCAAUGGCAUAAGCCAGCUUGACUGCGAGCGUGACGGCGCGAGCAGGUGCGAAAGCAGGUCAUAGUGAUCCGGUGGUUCUGAAUGGAAGGGCCAUCGCUCAACGGAUAAAAGGUACUCCGGGGAUAACAGGCUGAUACCGCCCAAGAGUUCAUAUCGACGGCGGUGUUUGGCACCUCGAUGUCGGCUCAUCACAUCCUGGGGCUGAAGUAGGUCCCAAGGGUAUGGCUGUUCGCCAUUUAAAGUGGUACGCGAGCUGGGUUUAGAACGUCGUGAGACAGUUCGGUCCCUAUCUGCCGUGGGCGCUGGAGAACUGAGGGGGGCUGCUCCUAGUACGAGAGGACCGGAGUGGACGCAUCACUGGUGUUCGGGUUGUCAUGCCAAUGGCACUGCCCGGUAGCUAAAUGCGGAAGAGAUAAGUGCUGAAAGCAUCUAAGCACGAAACUUGCCCCGAGAUGAGUUCUCCCUGAGACUUAGAGUCUCCUGAAGGAACGUUGAAGACGACGACGUUGAUAGGCCGGGUGUGUAAGCGCAGCGAUGCGUUGAGCUAACCGGUACUAAUGAACCGUGAGGCUUAACCUUACAACGCCGAAG
rnacentral:rRNA from 1 species